UAACGGGAGCAUCGUGCCCGCGUCGUUCA
rnacentral:sRNA from 1 species